rnacentral:tRNA from 1 species
UGGGGUGUAAUUCAGGGGCAUAGUAUUUGCCUAGCAUGUACAAAAUCCUGGGUUUAAUCCCCAACACUGCAA